GACCUCGAAUCAGGUAGGAAUACCCGCUGAACUUAAGCAUAUCAAUAAGCGGAGGAAAAGAAACCAACCGGGAUUACCUCAGUAACGGCGAGUGAAGCGGUAACAGCUCAAAUUUGAAAUCUGGCUCCUCUGGAGUCCGAAUUGUAAUUUGUAGAAGAUGCUUUGGGUUGUGGGUUCGGCCUAAGUUCCUUGGAACAGGACGUCAUAGAGGGUGAGAAUCCCGUAUGUGGCCGAGGCCCGCGCCUAUGUAAAGCUCUUUCAACGAGUCGAGUUGUUUGGGAAUGCAGCUCAAAAUGGGUGGUAAAUUUCAUCUAAAGCUAAAUAUGGGCCAGAGACCGAUAGCGCACAAGUAGAGUGAUCGAAAGAUGAAAAGCACUUUGGAAAGAGAGUUAAACAGUACGUGAAAUUGUUGAAAGGGAAGCGCUUGCACCCAGACUUGGGCGCUGCUGAUCAC
rnacentral:rRNA from 1 species